rnacentral:rRNA from 1 species
ACACAUGCAAGUCGAGCGGUAACAGAUCCAGCUUGCUGGAUGCUGACGAGCGGCGGACGGGUGAGUAAUGCAUAGGAAUCUGCCCGAUAGUGGGGGAUAACCUGGGGAAACCCAGGCUAAUACCGCAUACGUCCUACGGGAGAAAGGGGGCUUCGGCUCCCGCUAUCGGAUGAGCCUAUGUCGGAUUAGCUAGUUGGUGAGGUAAAGGCUCACCAAGGCAACGAUCCGUAGCUGGUCUGAGAGGAUGAUCAGCCACAUCGGGACUGAGACACGGCCCGAACUCCUACGGGAGGCAGCAGUGGGGAAUAUUGGACAAUGGGGGCAACCCUGAUCCAGCCAUGCCGCGUGUGUGAAGAAGGCCCUCGGGUUGUAAAGCACUUUCAGCGAGGAAGAACGCCUAGCGGUUAAUACCCGCUAGGAAAGACAUCACUCGCAGAAGAAGCACCGGCUAACUCCGUGCCAGCAGCCGCGGUAAUACGGAGGGUGCAAGCGUUAAUCGGAAUUACUGGGCGUAAAGCGCGCGUAGGUGGCUUGAUAAGCCGGUUGUGAAAGCCCCGGGCUCAACCUGGGAACGGCAUCCGGAACUGUCAAGCUAGAGUGCAGGAGAGGAAGGUAGAAUUCCCGGUGUAGCGGUGAAAUGCGUAGAGAUCGGGAGGAAUACCAGUGGCGAAGGCGGCCUUCUGGACUGACACUGACACUGAGGUGCGAAAGCGUGGGUAGCAUACAGGAUUAGAUACCCUUGGUAGUCCACGCCGUAAAACGAUGUUCGAUCAGCCGUUGUGUGCCUAGUGCUCUUUGUGGCGAAAUUUAACGCGAUAAAUUUCAACUGCUGGGGGGAGUUCGGCUCGCAGGGUUUAAACUUCACUUUGAUUUUCUGGUGGGCUCUUUAUAACGCUGUGGGAUCU